rnacentral:piRNA from 1 species
UACAAUACCAAAAUGGGGAAUUAGCACAGU